CAUCAUGUCUCAAAAGGAAUGCAGUGAAAGUUUACAACAUGCACGACAACAUGCGGAUGAAUACCUAAGCGAAAACAUUUCACCAAAGCGACUACAAUGCUUUCGCAUUCCCACACGUAAGCAGUCUUAAGUGUCUUUGCCAAAUUUUUUCAAAGUGCCGUAAUUCAGACACUUUCAUGUAAAAAAGCAAGUUUAAUAUUUUUUACAACUCUAACAGCACAGAAAAUCUGCUUACAGGCUCUUUCUUGCUCACUGUUGUGCUUGUCUACUUAAAGUUUUGUGGUUGAAGCCGCAGGAGCAUUUCGCGUUUACCAAUCGUGCGUCGUCGCGAUGCUUUGAAGUGCGACCUUGACUGUGUGACGCCGGCAGUUUAUACUGUGCUGCGCAAAUUCAGCUUAAUGCUUUCUGUCUAAAUGCAAGUUCAACCCAUUUUGUUCUGUAAGCGCACAGGCGAACUUGGUAGGCAUAGUCACCGCUGUUGCGGUCCUCAGUCUAGCCCGCAUGCAUGAUCUGUGGCUUGAUCACUAAUGAGUGGCAAACUUCCAGCGAUAGUUUGCCGUCCCCCUGCCAUACCUGCCUUGGCUGUUAGGCCUAAACAGUGCUGUUGCCUACUAAAAACCAAUUACAAUGGUUAAAAAUGCAAUUGGUACAACCCUAUGUGCAUUAACUGGUAUAAUUUGUGACCAACCAUGUUUCCAGCCAGUUUUAGUGUUUCAUCCCUCUAUUCUCUCUCUAUCUCUUUUUUUUUUUUUUUAGGCACGAAAUAGCCACAAUAUAAGAACACUCAAGACUCUUAAAUUGGGAUUACAAAAUUCAUACAUUAAACUUGACUCUGAAGGCCCGUCCGCACUCAAAUGGAGUCGUCGUGCAGUCCAGGUCCUUU
rnacentral:lncRNA from 1 species